rnacentral:rRNA from 1 species
CGGUUAAGCUUCACUUCUCGGCCCCACGUCGUGGUCCUACACCCCCGGGGUCGCCGUAACGCCCCUGGUUUGGGCUCUUCCGCGUUCGCUCGCCACUACUUACGGAAUCACGGUUGUUUUCUUUUCCUGUGGGUACUGAGAUGUUUCACUUCCCCACGUUCCCUCCUACUGCCCUAUAUAUUCAGGCAGAGGUCGCCGGACAUUACUCCGGUUUCUUUCGAGGUUUCCCUAUUCGGAGAUCCCCGGAUCGAAGCUCGUUUACCAGCUCCCCGGGGCUUAUCGCAGGUUACAACGUCCUUCAUCGGCUC